rfam:Myotis brandtii contig204941, whole genome shotgun sequence.
AGGCCUGAAGAGAGAGGCAGGGUCUUAUCCACAGCAUCUGUGGCAGCUGUUGAUCAACCAUUGCCUCUCUCUUUCUCUCUG